GCAGAGAAUGUGUGUUUUAUUGUCGGGACGAAGAAAGAUGAAAAUACACAGGCAUGGGGAAACAACACUCGUCUACUAUCAACAGGUGAGGCGUACGUUAAAAAGUUCCGACCUAUUACUACUGCAAUGAUUGAAUUUAAGGAGAGAGAACAGAGGUUUUUUGCCGGUCAUCUAUUUGCA